GCUAUGGUAGACGAAUAUGCUGCAUGCAACUUUCACCUUCAUAGAUAAUAUGUCGUUCAGUCACUUAGUUACAAUAUAUGUAAAGUUUUCAAGCGCUUUCUGCAAGACUGACAAAGGCGCGGAGACGGGACCUGAUGUUCUUGUAUUAAAACGCGCCACGACUCCACGACAGAGGGAGGGUUUCAAAAUAUUACAAACUACACGAAACACUACCAAAGGGGACGUUCAUAUCCCGUACUCCCACAAACCUUUGCAGCAGACCUUACAAUGAAAUUUAAGAAGUUUUUUUCGCGUUUCGGCGCCAUUUUCGAUUGGGCUGGAGUGUAAAAGCCUCUUUGCCCUGGAAGAAGUCCUUUGCAGGCGAGUUGAGGCCUGCUCUUAAGAUAAGAGGCCUGUGCAGGAUAGCUCCUUUUCGACGCGAGGAUUGUUUUCCAGAUUCAUCCCUCAAGCACGUUCUGAUGGUUUACGCAACAGUGUGACAGCGGGGACGUGUGACAUCGAGUUGACGGUGAGGGUUGUCAUGUUUCCUUUACGAUGAAUUCCUCCGGCAUCAGAAAAGUAGUAGUCUGAAAACGAUCAACAGCCGCAUUUAAAAUUUGUUUAAAAAACAGUUUGAAAGAAUAAACCUGAGUGUUUUAGCAGGUUGAUUAUUCAAUAAAAGUGCAUUCAUAGUGUCUCAAUAUGUAUUGGUUGUUGUGAUCAGAGGGCAAGUGUUCAUUCUGACAUAUGCACUGGUAAAAAUAAAUUACAGAACAAAUCAAUUAGUGCAUAUGCUGUUAAUUUUGCUGUGACUAUCUUAGAUACAUCUAGAGGCAAUUUGACUAUGGUUCCUCUUACCAGAAUUGGGCUGAGUUGUGAACUGUAGUCAUAGCACUGUACUUUAUAGUGUAUGCCUGCAGCAACACCCUGUACCAAGAGGUGUAUAGACUUACAGUGAAGUACACUGGGACUUACUUUAAUAUGCCCCGGAGAUUAAUGGUUCACAUAAAUCAAAGCAAAGCAAAGUUUACUUUGUGCUGUCUCUCUCAUAAUAAAAAUAAAUAAGAAUGCUCUUUGUUA